UACAGAGGGGGGCAAGCGUUGUUCGGAAUUACUGGGCGUAAAGGGCGCGUAGGCGGCCCGCUAAGUCGAACGUGAAAUCCCCCGGGCUCAACCCGGGAACUGCGUCCGAUACUGGUGGGCUUGAAUCCGGGAGAGGGAUGCGGAAUUCCAGGUGUAGCGGUGAAAUGCGUAGAUAUCUGGAGGAACACCGGUGGCGAAGGCGGGGUCUCUGGGCCGUAACUGACGCUGAGGAGCGAAAGCAUGGGGGAGCGAACAGGG
rnacentral:rRNA from 1 species